rnacentral:lncRNA from 1 species
AAUAACCCGGAACUGAUGCCACAGGUCUGGUCCCCGGGAGAAACUUCCACCCAAUGACUCGCUUCUUAAGACGCUCAGAAGCUGCUAACGGAACAAUAGCGAGUGGCAAGAGAAAAGAUGAACAGAGAAGUAAAUCCCCAAAGCACCCCCCGGAAGGACCAGAAAAGGGCAACAGUCCCGGCACAACUGCUAGAGUCGAACACAAAGAGCUUUAGAUAGCCCUGGGAAAGUUGACCCCCACCAGCCAAGAAAAGAAAAAAGAACCCAAGAAAUGCAAACGAAAACCAGCUAACGAGCGCAAACACAAGAU